rnacentral:rRNA from 1 species
CCCUCUGGGGUGCAGCAGGCGACACUGUCGAAGGCGCUACCUCCGGAAAUACGGGAAUCGUGGUAGCGGUCUAUGUGGUUUCCGGCACAUGGGCAGGCGGAGACGCGGCAGGAUUCCUCUAUCUGAAGUAUCCUGGUGCGGAUUGGAGCGACUGGACCAACCCCGAGAACAUCCAGGUGGGCGAGGUCACCAGAGCAGCGACAACUGGGGUUGGCAAAGCUCUUGGGCUUACCAGGCAGAAUACAGAGACUUAUUGCAACACCAUCGGCAGCACUCGGUGGGGCUGUGAGAAUGUUUGGACAUUAGAUGCGUUGACGAUGCUCUACUUGGUUGAGUACGCCAACUGGAAUUCGCAGAGUACUUCUGUCGGAAUUGGCGGGGGGGC